UCCAGCGCGGCAGCAGAGCGAGCGAGAGGGGACGGUGGGAUGCCGGUGAUGAGAAACCGCGUAGAGAGGGGAGGGGGUAGCGCUCCGGCUCCCGACUUCUGCCCGUGGCGCCGCCGGUGCCACACGGCCGGAACCACGCGCCCCGCCAUGCGACUCCGCUGAUCAUCCCGCCGUCCUCCCACGACGGAAUCAAGUGAGAAUAUUUGGUAAUAGAGAGGACAUCUGGCUUGCACAACUCCAUGAGUCACUAUCAUAAAUAUCUUCGAGCUUCUCCGACGUGGAUUUUUGGCUUUCUCUAAUCCGAUCAAAAUGGAUUAGUGAAAGCGUAGUUUUUGAGACAGUUUUUAUUUGAUCUGAUUGGAUCAGGAAGAUUAAUACAGCACAUCAGUGUGACCACAUUUUGGAUGAAUUCUCGUACUCCUGAAAGAAACAAAUGUAGCGGCAUUUUUUUAAUAGAGGUGGGUCCAAUUAUAUCAAUAAUUUACAGGAACUUUGAGACAAGGCAGGGGCAUCUUGCAAGCCUUGCAUGAAUGUUUUCUUGUAAAGUCUCUAUACCUUAUGAUGAUAUGGCGCCUGGCACAAUGUGGAGCAACCUAAUUCUAACCUUUGCACACCUAACCAUGCAAAUAUGUAAAAUAUUGAAAGGUCUUGUGACAAUUUCACUGUAAAAUCAUAUACCAUGGUCCUCCUGUCGUGGAAAAAAAAUCUGAAAGGUCAGGUACCUAUCCUAUCUUAGUAACAAAAAAAACUCAGAGUCAUGAAGCUAAUAAGUUUCUAACUUACCUACCUAUGUUUCAGCUUUCAGAGAUAGUAUGUCCCUGUUUAAUAGUUUUUUUUUCCCUCUCUCCUGAGAUGACUCUCUGCUUAAUGGUUAGAGCCUAAGAGGUGCUUCUAUAAGUAAUUACCAGAAAUGCACAACCUUAUCCUCCUAAUUCUGUUUCGGUUAAAUGGGCUUUCCGAUUCAUUUGUGCAUAAGAGAUACACUUACCUGCUUAAACUGCAACAUGACUUAAUCAUAAGGUAAGUCAUGUUGUUGGCAAUACAAGAAUAUAUUAAUUGUUUAUAUAACAACAACACUUUAUGCUACAUAAUACUGAACUGUAUUUCUUUUGAUUAAUUAUUUGUCUAAAGUUGCAAAAGGGCUAUCACAAAAGACACACGGUAGUAUCUUGCAGUCUUGGGUACAAUGAUAAUUCAGAAACUGACAAUAGGCAUGAAGCAAUUGCAGAAAAGGAACUGGGCGCUUUACUCUAGAAAAUGGAAUAAGCUUUCGCCGAAAUAUAUAAAAAUGGUAUCAAUGAGGAAUCGCCGUACCAAUGGGGAUCAUUAUGGCCACUAAUGACUCAGCUUUUAUGUAUUAGUUUACAAAGUUUGUUAUAUAAUCCUGCGUGAUCAUUGUAUAGCUUUGGCUGCAUGUCAAGAGUACAUUCCCCUUUUCCCACCUGCGCUUGCACUUUUUUCUGUUUCAGAUUCAGACAAUGAUUGGCCGGCUGAACGACACUCAACAGGACCAAUGGAACUGAUGGACAAGAAGGGCUAAAUGAAGAUAGCUCAGGAUCAGAUGGACGAUGCAUCGUGUCUGAACUGUGGCUGCUCGUUGCUCUUAUGGAGAUUCAACCACCACCCUUCAAUUUGUUGCAGUAUGUCAGGUCAGAAUUGUCUGGACUUUUUUUUAAAAAAAAGUCAAGUCUGAACUUCCAUUGGUCUGUCAUCAACCUUUCCCAAUUUUCUCCUGGGCUAAUGUGCUAUUAUGCAACACUAAUGCAUUGGAGAAUCCAAAUUGACGAACAUUCUGCAAGCUUUAGAUGGGUGAGGAAGGAUGGAAGGUAUAUUCCCUGUUCAGGUUACUACUGGGAAUGAGCGAUGAGUUAGUUAGGCAAGGAGUAUAUUUUGAUCCACAUGAAGGUCCAAAUCUAUUGAGUUCUUUUUUCUCAGGCCUGGACCUUCUCUAUAUGCUUAAAUAAGUUGCAGCCUUAAGCCUUCCUGAUUGUCACUGUGGAGGAAAUACUUUGUCUAAUUUCACUUUGCUUUCUUUGUUCAUAAAUGUGACAGGAACUUACUAUACAAACAAUUGAAUCAAAAUGGAUGUUUGUCGGUACCCUGUAGCAGGGAUACCCACUUCUA